rnacentral:rRNA from 1 species
CUACGGGGUGCUCCAGUGAGGAAUAUUGCACAAUGGGGGGAACCCUGAUGCAGCAACGCCGCGUGGAGGAUGACACUUUUCGGAGCGUAAACUCCUUUUAUAUAGGAAGAAGAUGACGGUACUAUAUGAAUAAGCGCCGGCUAACUCCGUGCCAGCAGCCGCGGUAAUACGGAGGGCGCAAGCGUUACUCGGAAUCACUGGGCGUAAAGAGCGUGUAGGCGGAUUAAAAAGUCAGAAGUGAAAUCCUAUAGCUUAACUAUAGAACUGCUUCUGAAACUCUUAAUCUAGAAUAUGGGAGAGGUAGAUGGAAUUUCUGGUGUAGGGGUAAAAUCCGUAGAGAUCAGAAGGAAUACCGAUUGCGAAGGCGAUCUACUAGAACAUUAUUGACGCUGAGACGCGAAAGCGUGGGGAGCAAACAGGAUUAGAUACCCCUGUAGUC